AGGGCUUGCAGCAGGCAGUUGCAGUCGUCGAGGGUGUGCGCCGGAGAGGAGGCGGGCCUAGCCCGAGAGGGAGUGGGCCGGCGAGACGCUGUUACCUGAGCGCGGCCAUCCAUCCGUCGUUUCCACAGGCUGGCGAUGGGUUCCCAAUGACAACUUCGCUCCGUGUACUUGGUGCUCCGUGCAAGUAGUCCUCUACGGCUCUACAACACGGCUGCGGCCGCUGCUGAAGGCGGUCAUCGCACUGGCCGGCGGUCAUCGCACUGGCCGGCGUAGUCACCAGCGCGUCAUGGCGCUCCGCUCCGCCCGAGUGGCCCAACAGUCCAACACUGACACACCAGACGGUGUCACGAUCAGUCACACUGAGAUUUUGGCUCUAACAGGCUGUCGGCGCCAGUGGCUCCACAGCAGCCAUACCACAGGAGCUUCACCGUAGCUCCGGCACAACUGUCAUGUGGAGCACAAGCAUGGUGUUGAGUCCAGUGGCCACUGUCGCGGGGACUCCAGCGGCCAGGUGACAUCUCCAGUUCUCCUUCAUCUGGUCUUCUCUCUCCCAUCUCUUAAUCUCUUAUUUGCCCUUUUAAGUUCAGACAAGGAGACAUCACCACUUCACCACAACACCAUUUUUUUCCUUCAGUUCAAUUAACAGGUUCGCUAUUUCAAUCCCACGGCAGGUCGGCAGUCCUAAACACACAAGCAAGUUUGCAGCAUCCUUCCUGCUGUUCUUCAGCUUUUAGUUCCUCAUUGUUGUGCAGUGUAACCUACAGGAUGUCUACACGGAAAAAUUAGUUUUGGGUGUAGCUACACCACGCAUUCAUCUGGUAAAUAGAUAAAGUUUCUCUCAUUAUGAAUACUUUUAUUUCUUUCGAUCUUUUGUAACUUAUUUGAGCAAUUUUCGUACAAAGAUUUGAGCAAUAGAUCGGCCAUAGUCCUGGUAGCUACUGCCGUUGUUCCUGUUUUGACAUGUAGAGGGUGAUCUGCAGAUCUGGCAAGAUUUUGUAGGUUGUUGGCUGUGGAAGGACAAAGUGUUGUAGGCAUAUGGUUAUAGCAGUUGCUCACCGUUUAGAAGCAAUGUAGUUGACUACAUUUUCUACCUACAUGUUAAUUGUAUAUAUCUCUUUUCUUCUUUGCCUUUCUAGCUGCACCAUGGAAUUGUAUCCCUGUAUAGUUUUUGUCUGUUAUUAUUCUCUUUUGGCUUUGCCAUGUACCUCCUUUUUAUGGGUUUAUCCCCCCCUCUUCAAUAAAUAAAUACAGUGCCCCUGCGUUCAAGUCAAAAAAGAUUUGUAUCCGUGAAUACAGUUGUUAGGAAACAUGUAGGAUUCUAAAUUGUUUUGCGUCGUGCAGGUUUGGUCGUUCCUCAGUGUGCUUUUGCAGUGUAGCUGCUCAUUUAAUAAUUUGCAUAGAAACACUUCGCUUUUCUAGGAUCCAUUACCAUAACAUCUGAAUAACAGAAUAGCUUCAUACUGAAAGACACGCUAUAUUUUGUCAGUGCACAAUUUGUCAUGGUUUUAUGGAAUCCUAUGAGAUUGAUAAGUUUUUUUUGUUAUAUAGGGCAUUGAUUCUUCUAUCUUCAAAUUGUUGAAGGAUUAUUCUAGAACUACUGCCUUUAUUUUUUCAAGCAUCUUUUCUUUUCUUCGGCUGCAGAUUCAUGACAAAAAAAUCGAGUAUGCCCUUUUUAUUGCAUUUAUGAUUGGUGUGAUGCAAACACACUCCUGUGUAUUUUUCUCCUCAUUUUCAUGCACUAAUAAAUCCAUUCAACGUUUAAAUUUAAUCUUAUUUAAACUAAAACUCUGUCACUUAUUAUGGAUCGAAGGGAGUACUAGAAAUCAUCAUUAUUUACGUACUUUAAUUAUUGUUUACGUUAACUCACACUCUUAUUAUUGUUUACCAAAAAAAUAUCACUAUUGAUUUAGUCACUGCUAAACUGAACAACUCCAAUUCAUUGUCGUUAGGUUAAAUCUGAGUUUGAGUAUGUCAAUUCAAUGCACUUUGUAAGUUGACCAAAUCACGAUGUAACUUCUAUCAUUCAUGUCUGUAUUAAUUUAUAAAUAUGUCGGCUUUACUGGAAUCUUCAGGAGCCAUGACCAGUUAUUGAGGUGAAGUGGCUGACAUAUGGGAGUAAGUACUACUAUUCUGCUAGCUUAUUCUUACCCACGAGUAUUUGCUUUAGAUGAUGAAAAGAAUAUUCGUGCAACUUCAGGACUUAUUUGGAAUCAAAUAUUGAAUUGUUCAGCUCUUCAUGUGGGAUGUACAAAUAAAUGUACAACUUUUACUAGCUUAGUGGCCAUUCGUUUUCAAACUUGAAAUACAGUCAUCACCACUUAUCUCAGAUGAUUAACAUUUUGUGGAAAAUAAAGGCAUGAGAGAUACUUUUUCAAUGAAGGAACUCCCCUUACAUCUUUUUUUUUGCCGAUUUCUGAAUUCAGCAUAUUUUGUCAACUGUUCUUCAACCUGUCAGUGACAUAUAGUUAACACGUCUCAUGUCGUUCUGCAGCUCGAUCAGAGAGUAGUUCGGAAUAAGCUCGACAAUGUGUUUUCAAAAUAGAUAGCUUUUCUUUCAUUAGUUCAAUGUCUCUACCACAAGGGUACCCCAUAGAUGAAGUUUGUGGAAUCGUGUCAAUUUAGUUCGAUCAGAGAGUAGUUCGAAAUAAGAAAAACAGUGAUAUAUACAUCAACGGAACACAAUGACGAUCUAUGUAUGAACCCCUCUAAUGUUUUUUUUUAAUCAUAAUCUGUAUUCUGCAUAAAUAAUUCUGGUCACAUAUAAUACAAAUCGGAAGAUAAUGAGAAAAGUAGAUACAUGCAACAUCUCAGGGCUAAACUUGCAAGCUUCUGAACUUAAAAGUAAACUUUUCAUUUUCAAGGCUGACUAAAAUAAUUCCAAUUCUUUUUUCAGUUUAGGCUGACUAUCAUACCCCAUAGUUUGGUGAUUUGCUUGAAACCUGAAUACCUGCAUUUACCUUUGUAUAGUGGUUUUUCCUUAUGGGGUUAGGAACCAUGAAGUGGAUAAACACUGUUAUGUAUCUGCAAAGGGAAGCAAUCUAUCUACACAACAUGUUCUUUUUUUUCAUCAACUGUAUUCUACAUCAAUAUGAUGCUUUUUCUUUCGGGUUGCCUUCCAGGUUUGACAUUAAGUUACGAAGAUGCCAACUUAUUUUAUAGUUCACUGAUGCCAAUUCAAUUGUGCUAGCUUCCAUAUGAUAACUUGCUACUCUGACAUGCUGCCAUGCGUUGCAAUGUUCAGUGAAACAAAUUAGCAGUAGUCCUCUUUAAGUGCUACAAAGUAAAUUAUCAACGGUCAUUUUCCAGUGUCACUUGUUUAUCCAGGGAGAGCUCUCUAAGUGUCGUAAAUUCUCUAUUUUAUUUAGUAUAUACUCUCCUUCAUGUGCCAUUUUUUUCCCUCUCAAUGCAUAGUAAUCUAUUUAGUAAAACGUGGCCAUGGAAAACUUAUCUAAUGUACUUCUGUAGGUUUAGAACACAUGAUUUGUAGAGAUAUACAAACAACAAACUGAACGAACUGUGUCAUGUAAUUUGUAGAGAACCCCUUCUGUAAUUUGAGUGCUUAAUUUGGAUAUUUGGCAGUCAUUCUUUCUCAGAUUUGCUGAUGAUGCAGAGCUGCACUAUUCUUAGAGCAUAUGUUGUAUUUUAUGGAUAUUUUGAUGUAUCCUGCAACUAUCUUAGCAACGGCAAGCCUAUGAUAAAAGGACAUACUUGCAGAUACACCUAGAUUGCUUCUCUUACAUAGGCAUGCAAUGGAGAACAGGUGCAUGGUCAGGUAGAAGAGUACUGGCCAAGGAAUCAAGGAGAGGAGACAACAAACAUCAAGCCCGCCACUAGGAUACAUCAAGCACACCAUUGAUGAGCCCAUCUG